rnacentral:rRNA from 1 species
UACGGAGGAUGCAAGCGUUAUCCGGAUUUAUUGGGUUUAAAGGGUGCGCAGGUUGUUUGAUAAGUCAGUGGUGAAAGUCUGUCGCUUAACGGUAGGAUUGCCAUUGAUACUGUUGGACUUGAAUAUGGAUGAGGUAGGCGGAAUGCGUAGUGUAGCGGUGAAAUGCAUAGAUAUUACACAGAACACCGAUUGCGAAGGCAGCUUACUAAUCCAUCAUUGACGCUGAGGCACGAAAGCGUGGGGAUCAAACA